UGGUGCUACCGUUCCUUGUGAGACUCUGCCCCGAACACUGGUGGCUUCUUUACGUAGUGCCUGAAAUCACAGC